rnacentral:tRNA from 1 species
GCCCUCCUAGUUUAGUGGUAAAACAGCUCUCUCGUAAAGAGCAGCCAGUCGUUCGAUUCGGCUGUAGGGCA